ensembl:lncRNA
GGUUUGGAUAAAUGUGCCCAAAACUUUCAUUUACACUGUGCAAUCUAUUUACAGUGUAGAAACAGUUGGGAAACAUGUGAACAUUGCAAUGUACAUACAAAUUGAAUGAGCACUGCUAGACAACAUUACACAAGCAAACAUUCUCAAAUUCCAAAGGUGACAUUCAAUGUAUUGAUAACCUGAGAAGGUUAAAACACCUAAAGCAAGUUCUUAGGAAAUGGGGGACUCGUUAGUCUGAAUCAGUGUUCUGCAACUCCAAUGUCAGAGGGCAGAGGCUGUUUCAACACAGCACCAACCAUGUUGAUUUCUAAUAAUCAAGGGUCUUUAGCCAGAUGUUCAAAACUGCAAAGAAACAAUGAUUUUGGGCAAUUCAAUAUUAAACAAUCAUAUAAUCAUAAAUUCAUGAUGGAUACCAACACCCCCCCCACACACCCCUCCCCAGUUCAUUAUAAUAAUAAUAAAUUAAAGAUGGUAGUUGUGUCCUGUAAAACAAGUACUUAAAAAACAUAAACAUGAAAAAUCUGAUGAUUUAUACUCAGAAACAUUAUUUACUCAUAAACCCAUGAGUUUCCAUGUGUCCUUUCAGUGCAUUUUCCUCACUGUUAUUUCUGCAGUUGAAUUAAUCGGUCCUUUGAACAUGAUGUGUUUUUGGAAGGAUUUCAUUUUCAGAGAUUGAUGCCUCUCUUUGAAGCCAUGUGAUAUAAAACAAUGUUUGAAAAUUGGCAGUCCCUAUUGAGAGGAAAGUAGGGAUUGGAGACAGACAUCCUUUCAUGUGACGGAUGUAACAGAAACCUAUAAAACAGGUGUCCCAAACAGGUGUGUGUGUGUGCUACCAUUUGCAACCUCUCUUUCAAAUUAUUACUUGAGUAGUAGGUGGGUAUUGAGAUAUUGUGGGAAAAUACUACACUUACAGUAUUUGUUGUAGAGAUUGGUAGAAAUCAAGCCACACACACAACUGGCGUAACAGACACUCCAGCCAGUCCACACAAGCUGGGUGUUUUUGAAAGUGUUUGGGACAGUUAAUCGCCUGAACAGGCAAAGUUGGAUCACAAGUAGAGGGAUGGACACAUACACACACAGUUGAUACUGUUUGAAUGCAUCUCUGGCCUUUUCCUCAGCUUCUUCAUUUAAUUAGCUGUCAAGUAAAGCAAAGAAAAACUAAACAGCACUUCAAAACAAUUUUUCCAAGUUUUACAUCCAAGGAAAUACAGCUCUGCGUUGUUGCACUUCCUUCUGGCAAUGACUGAAUCAGACUGAGUCUCUGUUCUCUUUUUGCUUCCUUGAUUUAGUGUUAAUGUCCCACCCAACACUCGUGGGGUCCAGACAAACGGCCCUACAGCAGUGUCCGGCUAUGAACUUCCUGAAUCGGGUUGGCCUUAAUAAGAGACUGUUAGAGUUAUUGACAGCAGAGAUGUAAAGUUACCAAGUACUUGGCUGUACUCACCAGUUUUGGGAAGUUCCUAAUUAAGACUGAAAUUACCAGGUGAAAGUAGUUGGUGACUGACCAGUGACUUAAAAUAAUAAUCUUUCACUCUUCCUUUUUAAUGUAUUACCCACUGGUUAAUUAUGAACUCCCUUUACCUGGUAAUUUAGGUCUUAAUUACAAACUUAGGUCUUAAUUACAAAGUGUUGAACACAGCCGAACACAGCAGAGUACUUUCACUUUGUACUUUUCAUACCUCUGAUUGACAGAUAUAGACAAACAUGAUAUAAAAUGACAGCAUUUUAUGUCUUGCCAAAACAAAUGAACAGAAAAGGCUAGAGAGCAAAGAGAUACUGCUAUACACCAG